CCCCCACUCUGCCGCCUCUCUGUUUACAGCCUGUUCCCGACCGGUAUUUGAAAUAUUCCAAACAUCGGCGUCACCAUUCCUCCGCGCAGGAGUGCAGGGCCCCAGUGUGAAGGCGGAUGGGACUUCAGACGGAAGCGGGCUACUCCGCCCGGAACGACCUGGCCCGGGCGCCUGCUCUGUAGGAGCUCCGCUUAUCAGUCAAGGGACAGCACAGCGGUGACAACCCCACGCCUUCCAAGGACAAACGGUCGGGGUACAAGCCUCAGCUCAGCAUGCAGCGGGCCGGCCUGUCUUGUCCUUCCAGCAAGGACAGGUCUGGGUGCUGCAGGGACAUGGAAGUCGCUUGCCUGCAGGACUGGGGUUUCCAGACUUUGUCCUGUGCCUCCUCCAGCUUCAACUGGGCAGCACCAAGGUGACUCAGCCUGCCGAACUCCAGGAAGCGGCCGGCCACAUGCCAGGGCCCCCAGCCUCAGGCAGAGCAGACAGCAGGGGCCUCAGGAUCCUCCAGGGAGGGCUUCCAGCCCUGCCUGCCCCGCUGGCUGCCUGGCAACACAGCAGCUUCCACCUAAUCCCUUCAGAGGAGACUGAUCUGAGAACAGAAGGCACAGGCUCAU